rnacentral:rRNA from 1 species
UAGGGAAUCUUCGGCAAUGGGGGGAACCCUGACCGAGCAACGCCGCGUGAGUGAAGAAGGUUUUCGGAUCGUAAAGCUCUGUUGUUAAGGAAGAACGAGUGUGAGAAUGGAAAGUUCAUGCUGUGACGGUACUUAACCAGAAAGGGACGGCUAACUACGUGCCAGCAGCCGCGGUAAUACGUAGGUCCCGAGCGUUGUCCGGAUUUAUUGGGCGUAAAGCGAGCGCAGGCGGUUAGAAAAGUCUGAAGUGAAAGGCAGUGGCUCAACCAUUGUAGGCUUUGGAAACUGUUUAACUUGAGUGCAGAAGGGGAGAGUGGAAUUCCAUGUGUAGCGGUGAAAUGCGUAGAUAUAUGGAGGAACACCAGUGGCGAAGGCGACUCUCUGGUCUGUAACUGACGCUGAGGCUCGAAAGCGUGGGGAGCGAACAGG